CGGGGGGGGCAAGCGUUGUUCGGAAUUACUGGGCGUAAAGGGCUCGUAGGUGGCCAACUAAGUCAGACGUGAAAUCCCUCGGCUUAACCGGGGAACUGCGUCUGAUACUGGAUGGCUGGAGUUUGGGAGAGGGAUGCGGAAUUCCAGGUGUAGCGGUGAAAUGCGUAGAUAUCUGGAGGAACACCGGUGGCGAAGGCGGCAUCCUGGACCAACACUGACGCUGAGGAGCGAAAGCCAGGGGAGCAAACGGGAUUAGAUACCCCGGUAGUCCUGGCCCUAAACGAUGAAUGCUUGGUGUGGCGGGUAUCGAUCCCUGCCGUGCCGAAGCUAACGCAUUAAGCAUUCCGCCUGGGGAGUACGGUCGCAAGGCUG
rnacentral:rRNA from 1 species